AUGGAGUUCUUGAUGCAGCCCAUAAGCAGGACACUGCUAGAAGAGAUCAAUGAUAACAAUAGCAUGAUGGAGACUGUGCGGGUCCUGGUCGUCGCGGCCGCGGAGGUAGAGUUGGCAGCACCGGCGGCUUCCAGCGCCGACAGGCAAAUCUGUCUUGAAGCAGCCAGUGCAAAGCCUGCAGGUGCAGAUGGGGCUGAAUGCUCAGAGCACUCCAUAGAGCAGCUGGACCCAAAAACACCGGGCUGGGCGCAAAGAGUGCGUGUCAGUGCUGCUGCUCUAGGUAGGGCUCCUUGCCCGGACAGGGUUACAGCCCUGGAGAAGACUGUCUGA
rnacentral:rRNA from 1 species